CAGAAGUGCUUUUGCCGAGUAGCGAGGGCUAUUAACGUCUUAAACACAUUUUGAAUAUUUGUUAUUUAUGUUCAGUAAAGUGCAUGUGCUGACGCAAAAGUUUUUUUUUUUACUCCACCCAAGGCUUUCAAAACUGUUUUUCAUAUACAACAAUUUAUUAUCGAAAAGUUUGACGUCAGUUGAGCCAAACGCAUCAAUGACGGUCGGAGUUGAUGAUUUUUCUCCAUGACCAGACGAUAUCAGGCAUUCGAGGCUUAUACGUUCGGAAAGGGGAGACUAUGACUAAUACUCUCUCUCUGGUGGUCAUCAUAAAUCAAUCGAAUCCAGAUGGAUCGGAGGCUGCUGACCUCGUGUGAAAAAGGGGCCUGAAAACUACAUACAACAUUAAGGCUCGAAGAUUUGGCCUUUGGGGAAAAGGAACCAAUCAUUUGCAUCCGGAAAUGGCGCGUUAAAUUUAUUCAAAAAAUUAAUAGAAAAAAGAAAGGAACAUAAUCAUUCACAGCUGGAAUAAACGGCAGUCAUGUUUUUCUA